rnacentral:tRNA from 1 species
UGGCUUAGACAGUGAAGAAUCUGCCUGCAAUGCAGAAGACCAGGGUUCGAUCCCUG